GACGAACGCUGGCGGCGUGCUUAACACAUGCAAGUCGAACGGAAAGGCCCUGCUUUUGUGGGGUGCUCGAGUGGCGAACGGGUGAGUAACACGUGAGUAACCUGCCCUUAACUUUGGGAUAACUUCAGGAAACUGGGGCUAAUACCGGAUAGGAGCUCCUGCUGCAUGGUGGGGGUUGGAAAGUUUCGGCGGUUGGGGAUGGACUCGCGGCCUAUCAGCUUGUUGGUGGGGUAGUGGCUUACCAAGGCUUUGACGGGUAGCCGGCCUGAGAGGGUGACCGGCCACAUUGGGACUGAGAUACGGCCCAGACUCCUACGGGAGGCAGCAGUGGGGAAUAUUGCACAAUGGGCGGAAGCCUGAUGCAGCAACGCCGCGUGCGGGAUGACGGCCUUCGGGUUGUAAACCGCUUUCGCCUGUGACGAAGCGUGAGUGACGGUAAUGGGUAAAGAAGCACCGGCUAACUACGUG
rnacentral:rRNA from 1 species